UACGUAGGGGGCAAGCGUUGUCCGGAAUUAUUGGGCGUAAAGCGCGCGCAGGCGGCUUACUAAGUCUGGUGUGAAAGCCCACGGCUCAACCGUGGAGGGCCAUUGGAAACUGGUAGGCUUGAGUGCAGGAGAGGAGAGCGGAAUUCCCGGUGUAGCGGUGAAAUGCGUAGAGAUCGGGAGGAACACCAGAGGCGAAGGCGGCGACCUGGACAGAUACUGACACUCAACUGCGAAAGCGUGGGGAGCAAACAGG
rnacentral:rRNA from 1 species